rnacentral:tRNA from 1 species
UCCCUGGUGGCUCAGAUGGUAAAAGCAUCUGCCUACAAUGCAGGAGACCUGGGUUCGAUUCCUGGGUUGGGAG